AGUGAACGCUGGCGGUAGGCCUAACACAUGCAAGUCGAACGGCAGCACAGUAAGAGCUUGCUCUUACGGGUGGCGAGUGGCGGACGGGUGAGGAAUACAUCGGAAUCUACUUUUUCGUGGGGGAUAAUGUAGGGAAACUUACGCUAAUACCGCAUACGACCUACGGGUGAAAGCAGGGGAUCUUCGGACCUUGCGCGAUUGAAUGAGCCGAUGUCGGAUUAGCUAGUUGGCGGGGUAAAGGCCCACCAAGGCGACGAUCCGUAGCUGGUCUGAGAGGAUGGUCAGCCACACUGGAACUGAGACACGGUCCAGACUCCUACGGGAGGCGGCAGUGGGGAAUAUUGGACAAUGGGCGCAAGCCUGAUCCAGCCAUACCGCGUGGGUGAAGAAGGCCUUCGGGUUGUAAAGCCCUUUUGUUGGGAAAGAAAAGCAGCAGGUUAAUACCCCGCUGUUCGGACGGUACCCAAAGAAUAAGCACCGGCUAACUUCGU
rnacentral:rRNA from 1 species